CCGCGUGUGUGAAGAAGGCCUUCGGGUUGUAAAGCACUUUUGUCCGGAAAGAAAUGGCUCUGGUUAAUACCCGGAGUCGAUGACGGUACCGGAAGAAUAAGCACCGGCUAACUACGUGCCAGCAGCCGCGGUAAUACGUAGGGUGCGAGCGUUAAUCGGAAUUACUGGGCGUAAAGCGUGCGCAGGCGGUUUUGUAAGACAGGCGUGAAAUCCCCGGGCUCAACCUGGGAAUUGCGCUUGUGACUGCAAGGCUAGAGUGUGUCAGAGGGGGGUAGAAUUCCACGUGUAGCAGUGAAAUGCGUAGAGAUGUGGAGGAAUACCGAUGGCGAAGGCAGCCCCCUGGGACAUGACUGACGCUCAUGCACGAAAGCGUGGGGAGCAAACA
rnacentral:rRNA from 1 species